rnacentral:rRNA from 1 species
UACGUAGGGCGCAAGCGUUGUCCGGAAUUAUUGGGCGUAAAGAGCUCGUAGGCGGUUUGUCGCGUCUGCCGUGAAAGUCCGGGGCUCAACUCCGGAUCUGCGGUGGGUACGGGCAGACUAGAGUGAUGUAGGGGAGACUGGAAUUCCUGGUGUAGCGGUGGAAUGCGCAGAUAUCAGGAGGAACACCGGUGGCGAAGGCGGGUCUCUGGGCCGAUAUUGACGCUGGAGGAGCGAAAGCGUGGGGAGCGAACAGG